rnacentral:lncRNA from 1 species
CUUCCUCUUUGUGCAGGUGGGAUUCUAGGGUGAAAGAAGCUGAUCCGCCACAGACCAAGAAGGAAAGGAAGGAGGCAGAAAACAUCCUUUUGCCCAGGGGAGGUAGACCAUGGGUUGUGGGUGAGAACUGGGAGGGCUCAGGAGCCAGCUCUGUCAUCAAUCCCUGUAGCCUGCCUGUGGCUUUUGAAGUCCUCAUUUCUGUCAAUGGUGUGAGCAAAGCACUCAGAGCUGAGGUUGGUGGGGUCAGGGGAGGUUCCUAGGCAUGGGACUUAGUGAAGGGCAAAGAUGACUAAAACAUCCAAGAGCCAAACCCCUGCCUGUGGAUUCUCAUAGUGUUGUGGGUGAGAUCAGCACUGCAUGUGGGGCACCGCAGCACAGCACAGCACACACAGCACAGCACACACAGCACAGCCCAGCACACACAGCACAGCACACACAGCACAUAUAGCACACACAGCACAUAUAGCACACACAGCACACACAGCACAGCACACACAGCACAGCACAGCACACACAGCGCAGCACACACAGCACAUACAGCACAGCGCAGCACACACAGCACAGCACAGCACAUGGCACAACACAGCACACACAGCACAACACACACACAGCACACACAGCACAGCACACACAGCACACACAGCACAUAAAGUACAGCACAGCACACACAGCACAGCACAGCACACACAGCACACCCAGCACACCCAGCAUACCCAGCACACACAGCACACACAGCACAGCACAUACAGCACACACGGCACAACACAGCACACACAGCACAGCACACACAACACACACACGCAGCACACACAGCACAGCCCACACAGCACACACACACAGCACAGCAUAUAUAGCACAGGCUCAGAGGCCCCUGAGGG